UCUUGGUUCCAUUUAGAGGAAGUAAAAGUCGUAACAAGGUUUCCGUAGGUGAACCUGCGGAAGGAUCAUUAUUGAAAUAAACCUGAUGAGUUGCUGCUGGUUCUCUAGGGAGCAUGUGCACACUUGUCAUCUUUGUAUCUCCACCUGUGAACCUUUUGUAGACCUGGAUAUCUCUCUGAAUGCCUGACGGAUUCGGGUUUGAGGAUUGAUUUUUUCUUUCCUCGAGUUUUCAGGUCUAUGUUUUUUUCAUAUACCCCCAUGCAUGUUUAUAGAAUGUAAUAAACGGGCCUUUGUGCCUAUAAACUUAUACAACUUUCAGCAACGGAUCUCUUGGCUCUCGCAUCGAUGAAGAACGCAGCGAAAUGCGAUAAGUAAUGUGAAUUGCAGAAUUCAGUGAAUCAUCGAAUCUUUGAACGCACCUUGCGCUCCUUGGUAUUCCGAGGAGCAUGCCUGUUUGAGUGUCAUUAAUAUAUCAACCCUCCUCAGCUUUUUGCAUGACGAGUGUUGGAUGUGGGGGUUUUUGCUGGACUCUUUCUCUUGAGGUCAGCUCUCCUAAAAUACAUUAGCAAAACAAUUUGUUUACCGCUCAUUGGUGUGAUAAUUAUCUACGCUAUUGACAGUAAAGCACAGUUUAGCUUCUAACAGUCCAUUGACUUGGACAACCUUUUAUCAAUGUGACCUCAUCUC
rnacentral:rRNA from 1 species